UAACACCUACAGCUUCAGCAAGGUUGUGAAUGUGCAUAGUAGAGAUUAUCAUAAACAUCACUACUCCUGCCACGUGAGUCAUUCCAGCCUGCCAAGAAAACUCAUUGUGCCCUUGAAUAAAAAAGGAAAAAAAUGAAGCAACAUGAAGAGAUCAGUCCUAUUUUAAUCAAACCUUUGAACUACACAAUGGAUCAACGAGGUUCAAGGCCAGAAAAGAAACAGUCGGGGAAACAAAUUAUGGGUGCUGUUGGGUGGUGUUAUGAGCAAAGAUGUCUGUCCAUCUGAUCUUCUGUAUGACGAGUCUUCAAAAAUAUUUUUCCUUCACUCUAAGUACAGUGUUGAUAUUUCUUUAAUAGGCAAUAGGUCACCAAUCACACACUUAUUGCAAAUUGCAAAGUCACUUUAGAUGUGAACAUUUUUAAAAGUGUUUUGGGCUAAUCAAGGACUCCUUCUUUUGAAGAGAUUUUUAUAAUUUGGUUAGCUCAGUUACAGUCUAAUCUAAUUUUAAGUGCAUCUCAGUAAAUAUUAACAAUGAUUAUAUUAAAAAUCAAAAUGUUAUUAAAGGGAGCUUAAAAGUAAAGAACACUUUCGAAACAACUUGUAGAGUAUAGAGAGAGCAAAGGAAAACUGUCUACUGAUUCAAUUUCUUGAAAUAUCAAUCUUCUUAAAUCAUUUAAUAAAUCUGUUUGCAUUCA